AAAGCAGGAAGUACAGACGUGAAGCCUAGCAGAGGACUUUUUAGCUCCUCACUGGCCCCGCUUGUCUGACCGACCCAUCCGCCCGCGACCCCUAAUCUGCUCUGCCUGCCCCAAGAUGCUGAAGCCAGCCCUGGAGCCCCGAGGGGGCUUCUCCUUCGAGAACUGCCAAAGGUGAAGCGGGGGCGCGGGGGGCGGUCACUCCUGAGCCGCCUCUGCUAGGUCGUGGCCUUUUUUCCUGGCUGAGGGUGGGGGAGGGUGUGUUGGUCGACUUGGGUUCCAGGCUUACCCCGGAAGAUGAGGGAGACGGGGACCAGGUUAGGGGAAGCAACAGGGGUCUUGAAAGCAGAGCCGAAACCUGGGCGCCCUCCUCCGUUUCCAGAAAUGCAUCAUUGGAACGCGUCCUCCCGGGGCUCAGGGUCCCUCAUGCACGCAAGACCGGGACCACCAUCGCGGGCCUGGUGUUCCAAGACGGGGUCAUUCUGGGCGCCGACACGCGAGCCACUAACGAUUCGGUCGUGGCAGACAAGAGCUGCGAGAAGAUCCACUUCAUCGCCCCCAAAAUCUAGUGAGACUCCCCAGCCCAGUUCCCGCACGCAAAAAAAUGGCCCCCUCGUUCCCACUCCGGUAACUGCACGUCCCAGCCCUGCCCACACCGAUCCUCCCUUUUCCCUCAGCUGCUGUGGGGCUGGAGUAGCCGCGGACGCCGAGAUGACCACACGGAUGGUGGCGUCCAAGAUGGAGCUACACGCACUAUCCACGGGUCGCGAGCCCCGCGUGGCCACGGUCACUCGCAUCCUGCGCCAGACGCUCUUCAGGUACCAGGGCCACGUGGGUGCAUCGCUGAUCGUGGGCGGCGUAGACCUGACUGGACCGCAGCUCUACAGCGUGCAUCCCCAUGGCUCCUACAGCCGUCUGCCCUUCACAGCCCUGGGUGAGCGCUUCUGUCCCUUCUCCUCGAACUCUG
rnacentral:sRNA from 1 species